rnacentral:tRNA from 1 species
UGCCCAGGGAUGGGAAUCGAACCCACAGUGUUCCGAUUACCGGGCAGAUGCCAUGUCCACUAGGCUACCCUGGAC